rnacentral:lncRNA from 1 species
AUAGCUGAUCUAAAAUGGGGCACAUUUCGACUAUGAUUGUACGGCGGUAAAUAAUUUCGCAGUGAUCGUCAAUUACUUAAACUGCAUCUUACCUGUGAUUAAAAUCAACACUAUAUUAGUUGUAUCCUUGCACUUUUAUUCAUGCAGAAAGUAGAUCAAGCUAUUCAGUAAAGAAAUGAACGGUAAAAUAUAAAUACACAAUAGGGCAUGUAGAAUUGAAGUCAAGUCAUCCGACAAUAGUUAAAAUGACACAUGAAGCACUGCCUACAACGUAGACUUUUCAAAAAAUGCUAAAAUCAACAUUAGCUGAUAACAUUUUAAUUAUUUAUAAGGACAGAAAAUACAUUAUUCAAAAAAGCACCAAGAUUAGUUCAAAUAAUUUCAUAGGAGGCAUAUCAAGUACCUUCAAUAUACAAAUAAGGAGAUGUGGAACAAUUGCAUAUGAGUUGAGACAAUUUUCCGCCAGAAACCAAAAUGCAAGGUCUUUCCGAAUUUAUAAUCUGUAUUGCUAUAAAGUUAAUCAGUUCAUACCAUUAUACAACCAUUGCAUUUACCCGUCAAAUUAUAAGUACUCCAUAAUUCACAUUAACACAAAACUACAUUUUCUAUUCAUGUUUCUGCAUUGACGUGCAGUUUAGGUUUGGAUAAUACAGUACAAAUAUGUCACUGUACCUAUUGUUUUUUUAUUAUCAUUACUUUGCUUCCGACAUAGUACUUUGGAACUUUGAGAUUGAAUAUACUCGGGGUAAGUACGUUUACUUGUAGUUUGUUUUAAUUACAAACGAUUUGUUUAAUCUGUAAUUGGAUUUAGUACAUAUUGAAGCAUAGGCAUAACUGUCUUUUAAAACUUUUUGCACCAAUUAGCAAAACACAUAACACAUUAUACCAAAUAGAUCCAUCAAAAUAUAUAAACAUGAUAAACAACAGCAGAAUUCAGUUAGCUUUCAACAUCCACUAUUCAUGGUUUUGGUUGAAAACGAGAUAACAGAUAAGUAACAGUAAAAUGUUCUUUU